rnacentral:rRNA from 2 species
AGGGGAGUGAAAAAGAACCUGAAACCGUGUACGUACAAGCAGUGGGAGCCCCACCACUAAGCCAGUGGUGAACUCCACAUCCGCAUCCUUUGCUGAGGAUACGGUUAACGGAGCGAAAGCGACGUUCAACCGCAAAACAAGCAGAGGGGGCUUAGUGGUGGGGUGACUGCGUACCUUUUGUAUAAUGGGUCAGCGACUUAUAUUCUGUAGCAAGGUUAACCGAAUAGGGGAGCCGGAGGGAAACCGAGUCUUAAUUGGGCGUUAAGUUGCAG